GAUGAAGAACGCAGCGAAAUGCGAUAAGUAGUGUGAAUUGCAGAAUUCAGUGAAUCAUCGAAUCUUUGAACGCACAUUGCGCCCCUUGGUAUCCCGAGGGGCAUGCCUGUUCGAGCGUCAUUUCCCCACUCAAGCCUGGCUUGGUGUUGGGCGACGUCCCCUUUGGGGACGCGCCUCGAAACGCUCGGCGGCGUGGCACCGGCUUUAAGCGUAGCAGAAUCUUUCGCUUUGGAAGUCGGGGCCCCGUCUGCCGGAAGACCUACUCGCAAGGUUGACCUCGGAUCAGGCAGGGAUACCCGCUGAACUUAAGCAUAUCAAUAAGCGGAGGA
rnacentral:misc_RNA from 1 species